UAGAAUAUCCCUUCCCCUUAAAGGCUGCUGCGGAGGUGCUGCAUGGCUGUCGUCAGCUCGUGUCGUGAGAUGUUGGGUUAAGUCCCGCAACGAGCGCAACCCUUAUCCCUAGUUGCCAUCGGGUCAAGCCGGGCACUCUAGUGAAACUGCCUCGGAUAACGAGGAGGAAGGUGGGGAUGACGUCAAGUCCUCAUGGCCUUUAUGUCCAGGGCUACACACGUGCUACAAUGGUCGGUACAAACCGUCGCAAACCCGUGAGGGGGAGCUAAUCGGAAAAAGCCGGCCUCAGUUCGGAUUGGAGUCUGCAACUCGACUCCAUGAAGCUGGAAUCGCUAGUAAUCGCGGAUCAGAACGCCGCGGUGAAUACGUUCCCGGGCCUUGUACACACCGCCCGUCACAUCACGAAAGUGGGCCGUACUAGAAGCUGGUGUGCUAACCGCAAGGAGGCAGCCAUCCAAGGUACAGCUCAUGAUUGGGGUGAAGUCGUAACAAGGUAACCA
rnacentral:rRNA from 1 species